AUUGAACGCUGGCGGUAUGCUUAACACAUGCAAGUCGAACGGUAACAGAACUAGCUUGCUAGUUGCUGACGAGUGGCGGACGGGUGAGUAACGCGUAGGGAUCUACCUAACAAUGGGGGAUAGCCCGGUGAAAACCGGAUUAAUACCGCAUACGUCCUAAGGGAGAAAGGGUGCCUCUUCUUGAAAGCAUUCGUUGUUAGAUGAACCUGCGUCGGAUUAGCUAGUUGGUAAGGUAAUGGCUUACCAAGGCGACGAUCCGUAGCUGGUCUGAGAGGAUGACCAGCCACACUGGGACUGAGACACGGCCCAG
rnacentral:rRNA from 1 species